GAAGCGUUUAUCUUCGGUUUUGUGCGAUAAGAGUGGCUAAAGAUCCGUCGUUUUGUCUACCUUGUGUGUCCCCCUGCUUUAAUCACUUUUUGUUGUUUCGACGCAAAUCGUUUUGUGAAGAUUCAUUUCACGCGUAGAGAAUGAGGAACUGCUGAGCUUUGUAGAAAUUUGUAUACUUAAAAACUGGUAAAGUAAAGAAGAAAAUUUCUUGGUCUUCAUAAGUCUGAGUAAUUAAGUAAAUGAUGGAGAGGAUAGAUACUAAUUAAGAGCUGCUAACCAGAAGCGAACUGAAACACAAUUUUACUUUGUUGUGUUCAUCAGUAGCAUGCAAGUAGCUAUAGCUAGCCUCCGACAGAGUGUCAGUUUUUUUUUUCAAUGAAACUUCCGCAGGCUGUGAAACAGGUGCGGGCAGCAUUGUGGAGAAGCAAGUAGCAUGUUUGCUUCAUCGUCAACAAGACAGGAGAAAUCCAGAACAAUUGUACUUACGGAGUGUCAGUUGUUACUCUAAAUCUCAUUUGGGUUGAUUUCUUUCUUUCCAUGGUUAUGCUGAAAUUAACAGUUUUUGUGAUCUUGGUAUGUCGGCGCUCCUCCGAGUAAAGCAAAGGCUGGGGAACUGGGAUACUGGAAGCCGGCAAGACAGAGGAACGCGGCAAGUGCUAUCCGUCGAAGGAGCGAAGUGGCAUAAGUGAGAUAUGUUGGGUCCAUACGCUAUAUAGAGCGACGAUCUCCUUCGUAUGGGAAGCUUUAGAAAAUGAAGAAGAAGAGAAAGCAGAACUAUUAUUAUUAUUAUUGCUUGCGUAUCCUUUACGGAGACAUGUUAGUUCGGAAACGUCUAUUACAAGAAGAAAGUAAAAGUAAAGUUUUUUCGACAUCAAUCAAUUCAAUUUUUUAUUAACUCUGAUUGAGGAUGAUUUAAAAAAAAACACUCAUGUGGACUACUUAAAUGUUCAGUAAGCUCACAAUUGAAACUAGGAGUAACACUAACUUAAAUAAAUAUAUUUGCUUUUCUAUGUACGUAUUUAUAUUAUUUAGUAUAUAUCAUAUUUAACUUAAAUUGGGAAAAGUCAAACUUUCAUUUGAAGAAUAAUCGUGACCUUGGGAUAUUCCUGUAAUAGGGGAGGGUUCAGCCUCAGCUCCACGAAUUCCAGCUCACCAACAAUGCGACAUAUUUCCACUUUAGUUUUUAUAUAUUUAUAUUUUUUAUUUUAUUCUUUGGAUCAUAUAAAUUGCGAUUUUGUCCUAUUAAUUCAUUUUCCCUCCAAAAACACGAAGUUAUUACAUUUACUAUAACCAAUCGCGGCGACUGUAGCGGCUAGUCUGCUAUUUUGGCAGACGCGACGCUAGAGUCGUUGCAGACAUUUCUAUAUUCGCGCUGUAAACCAAUAAACGAUGCGAAGUUAACAAUAGCCCAUAGCAUUUUGUAUUUUGAGGAGCAUGAAACUUCU